UGUGUCGGGGUUGCGCUGACAGAGGAGCAGGCAGCAGGAAAUACAGUAGCAGCCAUGAUAGAAGACAAAGGACCAAGAGUGACAGACUACUUUGUUGUAGCUGGUCUCACUGACACAUCUACUCUUUUGGAUCAAGAAAUAAAUCGUUUAGAUACUAAGUCAACUGGACCUAAAGCUCCAAUUACAGACAUUGCCGUUAUUAUCAAAUCAGCUGGAGAAACAGUACCUGAAGGUUACACCUGUGUAGAAGCCACUCCAUCAGCUCUCCAAGCAAACUUGAACUAUGGAAGUCUGAAAAGCCCAGAACUUUUCCUCUGUUAUAAGAGAGGGAGAGAUAAACCACCGCUUACAGACAUUGGGUAUGGUGACUUAUUUUCUUUGCUAUAGUGAAGGAAUAAAAUUUAUUUAAGGGCCGUGGAAGUAGGAAUUUGAAAUCCUUGAUAGUUUUAUUAUUACUGAUAGUUUAUUAUUAUUGAUAGUUUUAUGGUUACUUCAGGAUUCAUUAUAGUAAUUUAUUACAUGCCAGUAUCCACCCUUACUGAAUUUCUUUG
rnacentral:sRNA from 1 species